AGUUAGGUCUAUCCCAAUAGGGUUUUACCCGUAGACCAUAUUGGAAAUGCCUCACAGAGUAAAUACAUGGUUUGCUUAACUUACAGAACUAUUUGUUAGAUCUGUGGGAAAGAAGUACAAGAGAAGC